rnacentral:rRNA from 1 species
UCCGUAGGCGGGUAAUUAAGUCAGGGGUGAAAUCCCACAGCUUAACUGUGGAACUGCCUUAGAUACUGGUUAUCUUGAGUUUUAGUGAAGUAGAUAGAAUGUGUAGUGUAGCGGUGAAAUGCAUAGAUAUUACACAGAAUACCGAUUGCGAAGGCAGUCUACUAACUAACAACUGACGCUAAUGGACGAAAGCGUGGGGAGCGAACAGGAUUAGAUACCCUGGUAGUCC